rnacentral:rRNA from 1 species
AUUGAACGCUGGCGGCAUGCUUUACACAUGCAAGUCGAACGGUAACAGGCCGCAAGGUGCUGACGAGUGGCGAACGGGUGAGUAAUGUAUCGGAACGUGCCCAGUCGUGGGGGAUAACGCAGCGAAAGCUGCGCUAAUACCGCAUACGAUCUAUGGAUGAAAGCGGGGGACCGUAAGGCCUCGCGCGAUUGGAGCGGCCGAUAUCAGAUUAGGUAGUUGGUGGGGUAAAGGCUCACCAAGCCAACGAUCUGUAGCUGGUCUGAGAGGACGACCAGCCACACUGGGACUGAGACACGGCCCAGACUCCUACGGGAGGCAGCAGUGGGGAAUUUUGGACAAUGGGCGCAAGCCUGAUCCAGCAAUGCCGCGUGCAGGAAGAAGGCCUUCGGGUUGUAAACUGCUUUUGUACGGAACGAAACGGUCCUGGUUAAUACCUGGGGCUAAUGACGGUACCGUAAGAAUAAGCACCGGCUA